UGUUUGCCCAUUGCUUUCUCUCCAGCGUAACAACUCUUGCCUAAAUCCGUUUCAACAGAACCCGUAUAAUCCGCCUGGAUCGCUGCUAAUCAUGCACAACCUGACAGGAAAAAAUCUAUAUAAAGUGCCAUGCCCUCUGCUCUCUGCAUUCCAUGGCCGUCGGACUCCACAGCACUGCAGCCACGUCCGCCCCUGUCUCCGCUCCAAAUAGCAUGCUCCGCAUCAGCAUGGAUCCGCUCCUCUCAUCUCUCCUUCCUCCCCAUGCGCGCGAACAGCCCCUCUGCUCGGCUCCCUGCUCCCACGGCCGCUUCACCCGUCGGCAGUGGGCCUCAGCACUCCAAUCCUCGACCACACUGAAUUAUUUUCCUAAUUGGUGUUGCUUCAUGCUGUCAAAGAGCUUGGACUUAAUGUUUCUCGGACAAGCCUUGGUUUUCUUCUGAGCCUAUGUGUGAAAGCAAGGAGAUUGCGACGUGCCCAACAGAUCUGGUCAUAAUAUGAAUAUGCUGGUCUUCCACACAAUUUGCUGACUUCUUUGAGGUUGAAUUCUUUUUACAUAAACCAAGAAUUUGUAAAGCAUUUUCUACAUAAUGGUACAUUUGUGGAUUGAUUUUUAUUGUGGAGCCAUGCAAGAUUUUGCUUUAUGUGAUAUCUAUUACAUUUAUGCCUCUUUAGGAUGUGUACAAUUAAAGAAAUUUAGCUAUUUCUAGGCCCCCAUGUGUUAUCUUCUGUAACCAGUUUUUUUUUGCAAAACCGAAUAUAGGGACAAAAAAUUGUUAUAUGGACUAUCAAAUUGUUCCUAAUUCAAUAUACUAUAUAGCAUCAAGCUGAUAAUAGUGAAACACAGUGGUGGUAGACAACAUAUCUUUCCAGCUCCUUACCUUGAUAGUGAAAAUGAUCUUUUUUCAAUAAUAUCCCCUAGGAGCACAUAGUUAAUAUGCCUAACAUGUUACAACUGCUCGAGCGAAAAAUGAAAUAUAAAGGGUUGCAGAAAUGUGCAGAGCCUAUGGGCAGCCUGCAGAAAGGCCAAAUCACCAUACUGAAGCAGGUUCACCUAUAUUCCAUCAUGAUGUGGAGGUCAAGAACAUGCUGAUUUUGGUCUCCCAAGGCUUGCUCCAGCAACAACAAGCUCAUGUCUUCACUGUUGUUAAGGGCACCUCAUUAAGUCUCAUAAUGUCAGUCACAUUGAAAAUGUCAAACUUAACAUGCUUUCUUUUAUGGUAGUAUACCAUUACCAUUUGGCAAGAUUAACUUGAUCUGAAAUAUUUCCUAGCUCACAAAUUAACUGGGUUUAACAAUUGUGCUUGUGAGAAUGCUUGUCCACUUGAAGGCGGUUGCUCUUUCAGCUUGUGCUGGUCCAUUGGCUAAAGAGGUGUAGUGGCCUUUAACUAUUUAUUGUGCUGGUCCAGUAGUAACUGAGAUUAUUGUUGCUCAAUUUAUAUGGCUAGACUAUGACGACCACACAUAACCCAUUUACCUGUAUAUAAACUCCACUGGAACUAUGGUAAGCAGUUGUUUGAAUAUUUGAAAGAUAAGAAGUUAUGUCAUUUUUCAUAUGUUUCUGAUGCAUAUUGCCAUAUUUGUGUAACUACAUCUUCCGUGCUGUAACAGGACGAAAAUAAUGAGCUUGUUGCAUCUGAAACUGAUGCUUAUGCAAUUGAUGAUUUAUCAAUGUAAGGUUGUAUCUUCUAAUCACUAAUUCAUAGAUUGGUACCUCUAAUAAGCUUUGGUACAAUAAGGUUUGGUUCAGCUUCUCAUUUUUUCACCCCACGGAACCACCCUAGCCAAAGACAGGUAUGUGCAUGAUGUUAUUCUUGGUAGCCUAUAAUCAUCUUUGCCUCAAAGUGCUUCUAUAGGUAAAUGAAUGUAGUGCAUGUUUUUAUUUUUAUUUUCUGCUCCAACUGUUUUCUAAGCUACUUCCUUAGUGUUAGUUCACAUGCAUAAGUCAUCUGCAGAAAGUGUGCUUCUUCCUAACCAACUGUAUAUGCUAUAAAUUGUCUUCUAAUUUCAACAGCAUAUUGUUGUUGUUCUAUAUAUCAGGGUGACUAUUCCAUGAUUUCUUUAUCCGGGAGGGUAUGAUUUUAGCGUGCAUGCUUAUUCUUUAGGUGUUCUUUACUAGGAUGUCAUGUUAUUUGUAUCUCAUAAUUGUGUUGUUACUAAUAUAGGAUACCCGUUCGACUGUGUUUGACUGGACCAUUCUGAUGUAUCCUCAAAUAUUUUUCUUUUGUUUUAGAUCUAUGGUACAAACCGGACACAUGUUUAAGCCUGAUCUUCAUGCAGGAGAAGCAUCCAGUAGAAGGAACCCUAGCGGUCCUGUGAACCAGAGCGACCGGUACGCACAAUGGCUACACGAGACCAUCGUUAGGGAGGUACACAAGUGCAGCCACCACUGUGACGUCCUUGAUGUAUCGGCGCCACAACGAGGACCUAGACGUAUUGCCACCGCUGCUUUGGAGAAAGCAGAGGCAGAUGGCAACAUCGUGGCGCUGAAGAACUACCACAACACGUAGUACUACGAUGAGCUGUAAAAUGAAGAGCGUCUUUUGGGUUUUUGCUGAGAAUAAUGGGAAGAAUGUGCAUCUUCAAAGGAAGGUGAACUUCAGAGUAAAAGCAGCUAAUGAGUUGUAGUUCAACAAGGAUGGCUCAGCUAUCAAGAAGCUCCAGAGUGGAGUCAAUAAGCUUGUUACUGCAAUUAUAGGAUGAUUAUUGAAUGAAAACAAAAUUUUUAAUAGUAAUAAGGUUUUUUUUCUAUCAAACACAAUCAAGAUUUGUUAGCUUGCUUGCUGCUGCUUAGAUCAAUAUUGGUUUCUCACAUCAACUAUGCUAAUGUUGAGGUGAUAAUCAGUCCUUCACUAGCAUAAGGAUGUAUAUGCAGACUAAUUUUUGUCUCUGUUGCAUGGCAUUUGUGUUGUUGUAUACCGCUCAAGUAUUGCUUAUGAGCUUGCUUGAACUUUAUCCUGGAGCCUCAAGAGUUGUCGUUGAUCAAAGCUACUUGUAUCUUUCUUUCAGUGUUUUGCUAGAACUCAUAAUGUUUCGAGUUUGCAGAAGGAUGAAGCAUAGAAAGUUAUUGUGUGCAUCCAUGGUUGUGGUCUUGAACAGGGUUAUUUAUGUGAAAUGAUGGAAGCGCUUAAUGUUCCAUUAGCAGAUACACCUGUGAGUAGCUCAUUUGUUCUUCGCGUUCAACACUGAAAUGUAACCAUAUGCAUUCUAGACAAAGAUAUAUUAGGUUCGUAAGAUAAACUGGUGUGCACCAUAUACUUGACAAACUAAAUUGGGCAUUAAAUGUGUUGUUAGUGUAACACUGGAUUUUAAGAAAUGUUAUACCAAAAUUCGUGUUGUUCUUUUAGAUUACUAUGAGAGAGUGCUCAGUUAAUAUAAUUGACUGACCUUUUUUAGUCUGUUAUUCAUUAAAUUUAACUUCAUGUAUUGGUUUACUGUCCCCAAGCGCCCCCUGUGCCCGGCACCACCAUCCAAGAACCCAAAUCGCGCUGCCUCCAUUCUCCCAUCUCCUCUCUUCGCCACUCCUCCUCCCUUCCGUAGUAGCGAACUGGUGAUGUUCUUAUGGACUCUGAAGCUUUGUUUGCCCAGAAUGGUAAUUUUGUUGUAUUCUAUUUUACAGGAUAAAACCGAGCUAAGCAAUUGUCCUUCAUCUCAGUGCUAAUUUAUGGGUUUCUAUAUUUUUCGGAAAAACGGUUAAACGUCUAGCAUAGAGUAUAUUGCUACUUAACAAUAACAUUCAGUUAUUGUUGUAUGGCACCAGUGCUUCAUAGUAACAUAUAGUAUAUUGCUACUUAAAAAAUGAUUGCCAGUUUUCACAACACCCAUUUAAACAAGGUCUACAUAUGUGAUAUAUAGAAACCAUAGCAACACACGUAUAUAGAAGUUAGUAUGGUACUAAUGGUUGUAAUGUGGUGGUUCCGUUGCAACGCACGGGCACACACCUAGUAAUAUAAUAAAUAAACAAAAUACAAGUUUGCAUUAUGCUGAAAUUCUAAGUGUGCAUUUAAUUUCAAAACUUUAUUUGAACUUAUAAUAUAUAUAUAUAUCAUACAAUAGAAAUAGAAAUAGGAAACAUAAAAAAAGAAAAGGCAUAUCGCAACCAUCGGCUCUAAUGGUUGAGUGGUCGAGCUUCUUCCAAGCCACAAAGCCCACCCUAAUGUUUCUUUUCUUUUCUUUUCUUCCACUGCCACGCUGAUGUCAGCAUGCAAAUCAUCCGAUGUUUGCCCAUUGGCCAUUGCUUUCUAUCCAGCGUAACAACUCUUGCCUAAAUCCGUUUCAACGGAAUCCGUAUAAUCCGCCUGGAUCGCUGCUAAUCAUGCACAACCUGACGGGAAAAAAAUCUAUAUAAAGUGCCAUGCCCUCUGCUCUCUGUAUUCCAUGGUCGUCGGACUCCACAACACUGCAGUCACGGUCGCCCAUGUCUCCGCUCCAAAUAGUGUGCUCUGCAUCAGCAUGGAGCUGCUCCUCUCAUCUCUCCUUCCUCCCCAUGCGCGCGAACAGCCCCUCUGCUCGGCUCCCUGCUCCCACGGCCGCUUCACCCGUCGGCAGUGGGCCUCAGCACUCCAAUCCUCGUAAGGACACGAGUCACCUGAAGAUCAUCCUCAUACCUGGAAUCUCAAGUCCCAGGCAAGUUGUGCCCUUGUUCACUUCCUUUUUACCCAGUCAUGUUCUUAUUAAUCAUAAUGAUCUGCAUAGGUUAAUUUUGAUGGGACCCAAUAGGUUACCCUAGAUUUGACUAUCUUUAUACCUUGUUUCACCACUGGUUUUACUAAUAAAUUUUUGGGUAGUACAUGCUAUUGCUUUAUGUGGUUUUCGGUAUAGAGAUAUUCACUACUCGUGAUUACACUUUAUAUUAUCUGUUUAUUAUUUAAUGUUCAUUAUAAGAUCAUUAUGUUAAUGGGAACAUGGAGAAUCACACAGGAAAACAGUGCUACCACAAGGGUUUAAUGGGACGCCCAUGGUUGAUUAACUAGGAAAGCUAGUGGAUGACUACCUUACCCGAAAGGGGCAAGGACAGUAGGGGAGUGGUCAGUGUAGGGAGGUCCUUGGUUGAUUUUGCUGCGAUGGCGGUCAGGCGAGGGACUCCUGCACUGGAGCUUCCUAUAAACUGUAGCGGGUUUUCUGAAGCUAGUGGAACUUUGUAAAGGCCUUGUAGUGUUACCCUGCCUCGCCUACUCGGUAGAGGUGUAUGGGAUUGGCCGUCUCUUGGCAGAUGGGUAACAUGACUUGUGGGUAAAGAUACGCAACCUCUGCAGAGUGUAAAACUGGUAUACUAGCCGUGCUCACGGUCAUGAGCAGCUCGGACACUCACAUGAUUAUUUUAUGGAACUAAAUUCAAUUUGCCAUAUGCAUUGCAUCGCAGGUGAUGUUGUUACUUUUGUUCCACUACUUAAUUGGGUUGGUAUUUACUUAUACUUAGCAACUGCUAGGACUAGGCAUAAAACCCGACACCCGAAUCCCGAACCCGAAAAACCUGAACCUAAAAAGCCCGAACACGAAAAACUCGAAAUCUAAUUUGGGUAUAACCUUCCGGUACCCGAAAUUUUAUAGAGAAUUUCGGGUUCAUUUACCCGGUACCCGAAUAGUAAACUAGUACCCGAAUACAACACAAGGAACAAGGCCCAAUGGCCCAUUACGGACAAGCAAAAGCAAGGCGGCAUGCGCAUGCCUGACUCCUGUCCAGAGGCCUCCAGGCUCGGCUCCAGUGGUCCAGGCGAGUAGCUAGGCGACCUGUCCAUCCAAUCCAACCCUAGCUAGCAGCAGCCACCACCGUCGAGCAAGGAGCACCAGUCCACGGUCCGCCACCGUGCCACGGCGCUGUCCAGCUACUGCCGACCACCCUGCACCGAGCCGCGUACGGCGACGCCCCGCUGAUCGCCGUGCCGACCGCGUGACUGUCAGGCGCGGAGGCGCCCAGGCUGAUUUGCCGUGUGAGCCACCCAGGCUGAUUUGCGCGAGCCCAGCAUGGUGCCACGGUGCACGCCCGCGACCUACGCUCGACUGCCCGGUGCUGAGCUCGUGGUGUAGUGAAGCCAACAUUGAAGAACGGCACCAACAUCGGAGGAAUAUUACAACAUGCCUGAACCUGAAGACAUAUUGGACAAGGGCAUGGAAUCAGUGGGCAUUGGCACUCUAGAAAAUGAUGGGACACAAACACAACCAUCACAAUCACAAGGGGCUGCUGAUCAAGAGGUGAUUGACCUUGACAAGGAUUGUGCACAACAGGAAAGGAAGAAGAUGGCACCAAGAUCAGAUGUGUGGAACCAUUUCAGCAAGAUCAAAGAUGAUAAAGGCAUUAUGAUAGCUGCAAAAUGCAAGUAUUGCCAUCGCAACAUGAAAGCAGACUCCAAGGGACAUGGUACAUCUGCCUUGAAGAGACACCUUCAAAGUUGCAAUCACAAUCCUAACAAUUUUGAAAAAGAUGGAAAGCAAGGAUAUUUACAAGCAAUACAAGGGGAAGGUGUUUCUACUUGGAGGUUUGAUCAAGAUGCGCUUAGGGAGGCCUUCGCUGAGAUGAUUAUUGAAGAUGAGCUGCCUUUUGCUUUUGGUGAAAAGCCUGGCUUCAAGAAAUUCAUGUCUAAAGCUUGCCCACGUUUCCAAGCACCAUCUAGAAGAACAGGUGCUAGUUAGUUUGGGCAGCUAUUAACUCUUGUGUCCGUGAGCUGUUUGAAGAAUACAAAAAUAUUUAUGCUCCAACUGAAGUAACAACUGAAGUAACUGAUCCUAGUGAAGCAAAGGGUGGUAGAGGAGGCAAACUUAGAGAAGUAAUUGCCAAGAGGAUGAAGAUGACCAACUAUUCUAGUAGCACAAUGAAGUCAGAACUUGAAAAGUAUCUAACUGAAGAGACUGAAGACACUGAGACAAAGAUUGACAUAAUUUUUUGGUGGAAGGUAAAUGCACAUAGGUUUCCUAUUUUAGCUCACAUGUCCCGUGAUGUGCUUGUUAUUCCUAUCUCAACAGUGGAUGCAGAGUCUGCUUUUAGCAUGAGUGGACGUAUCUUAGAUGACUUACGUACAUCGCUAACUCCUUUCAUGCCGGAGGAACUUGUAUGUACCCAAGACUGGUUGAGAAGGACUACUCCAAUCAACAUCCAAGAGAAUAUGGAGGAAUUAGCCAUGAUUGAAGCGGAUUUAAUUGAAGAAUUUGGUGGGAAAGGAAAAGGGAAAGAAAAUCCUACCACUUCCAAGUCUCAAUCAACGCCAAGCAGCAGUAGAUGUCCUCCCUCUAAAUCUGAUGAAAGACCUGCUACUUAAGCCUUUCAUACAUUGGUCAUGCAAUGGAGGAUUGGAGUCUGGAGGUUGUAGCUUAAAGUUACAAGAUCACAAAAAGCCUGGAGGUUGCAGCUUACCAGUCCACGGUCAGCAAAGAGUUGUGUGAGGCUGUGAGCUGUGUGUAAUAACUUGACAGUUGAGAACUUGAGACUGUAUGUCUGUAUGUGUGAUUUGCCUGUAGCUGUCUAUCUGUAGCAUUUUAUUGCCUGUAGGCUGUAGCUGUGGACCUGUGGUGUUUUAUUGUUGUUGUUGUGCUGUCUGUAGUUGUGUUAAAUGGAUUUAUUGUCUAGAUUUAUUGCCUGGAAAGACAUGUUAUUGUUGUCA